AUUGAACGCUGGCGGCAUGCCUUACACAUGCAAGUCGAACGGUAACAGGUCUUCGGAUGCUGACGAGUGGCGAACGGGUGAGUAAUACAUCGGAACGUGCCUAGUAGUGGGGGAUAACUACUCGAAAGAGUGGCUAAUACCGCAUGAGAUCUACGGAUGAAAGCAGGGGAUCGCAAGACCUUGUGCUACUAGAGCGGCCGAUGGCAGAUUAGGUAGUUGGUGGAUAAAAGCUUACCAAGCCGACGAUCUGUAGCUGGUCUGAGAGGACGAUCAACCACACUGGGACUGGGACACGGGCCAGACUCCUACGGGAGGCAGCAGUGGGGAAUUUUGGACAAUGGACGCAAGCCUGAUCCAGCAAUGCCGCGUGCAGGAUGAAGGCCUUCGGGUUGUAAACUGCUUUUGUACGGAACGAAAAGCCCCGGGUUAAUACCCUGGGGUCAUGACGGUACCGUAAGAAUAAGCACCGGCUAACUACGUGCCAGCCGCCGCCGUAA
rnacentral:rRNA from 1 species